CCCUUAGAUGUCCUGGGCCGCACGCGCGUUACACUGAUGCAUUCAACGAGCUUAUAACCUUGGCCGAGAGGCCUGGGCAAUCUUGUUAACGUGCAUCGUGAUAGGGAUAGAUUAUUGAAAUUAUUAAUCUUGAACGAGGAAUUCCUAGUAAACGCAGAUCAUCAAUCUGCAUUGAUUACGUCCCUGCCCUUUGUACACACCGCCCGUCGCACCUACCGAUUGGAUGGUCCGGUGAAGCCUCGGGAUUGUGGUUCUUACCGCUUUAUUGUAGCGUGACCGCGAGAACUUGUCUAAACCUUAUCAUCUAGAGGAAGGUGAAGUCGUAACA
rnacentral:rRNA from 1 species